CAAGUCCUCGUGUCCCACCUCCCACUCCCUUCCCCAAAUCCCUCACUCUCGAUUCCCUAUUCUCUCCAGAGAGGAAUCACCGCCGCCGACCUCCUCCCGCCGAUAGCGACGGAGGCGGACGUCGGGCUGGGUCGGACACCCACAUGGAAGGAGCGGGAGAACAACAAGCGUCGCGAGCGCCGGCGCCGGGCCAUCGCCGCCAAGAUCUUCAUCGGCCUCCGCACGCUCGGCAGCUACAAGCUCCCCAAGCACUGCGACAACAACAAGGUGCUCAAGGAGCUCUGCCGCGAGGCCGAAUGGGUCAUGGAGGACGACAUCACCACCUACCGCAAGGGAUACAAGCCGCCGUCAUCCAGGCCGUUCGGUGGGGUCUCGUCGGUGGGCAUGAGCCCCUGCUCAUCCUCGCAGCUGCUCAGUGCACCGUCGUCGGCGUUCCCGAGCCCGGUGCCUUCCUACCACCCCAGCCCGGUGUCAUCCAGCUUCCUAAGCCCCACGCACCUCGAGAACCCCAGCCCUGCCUACCUCCUCUCGUUCCUCCGUGGCCUCCCCAACCUGCCCCUGCUCCGGGUCUCCAACAGCAAGGUAGUGUCAAACCCACAUCCUCGCUGCCAUCUU
rnacentral:rRNA from 1 species